AAAGGAAUUGACGGGGGCCCGCACAAGCAGCGGAGCAUGUGGUUUAAUUCGAAGCAACGCGAAGAACCUUACCAGGUCUUGACAUCCUUUGCCAUCUAAAGAGAUUUAGACUUCCCUUCGGGGACAAAGUGACAGAUGGUGCAUGGUUGUCGGCAGCUCGUGUCGUGAGAUGUUGGGUUAAGUCCCGCAACGAGCGCAACCCCUAUGUUUAGUUGCCAUCAUUCAGUUGGGCACUCUAAACAGACUGCCCGUGAAAGCGGGAGGAAGGUGGGGACGACGUCAAAUCAUCAUGCCUCUUACGACCUGGGCUACACACGUGCUACAAUGGUUCGUACAAAGGGUAGCGAAGCAGUGAUGCGGAGCCAAUCUCAUAAAACGAAUCUCAGUUCGGAUUGCAGGCUGCAACUCGCCUGCAUGAAGUUGGAGUUGCUAGUAAUCGCGAAUCAGAAUGUCGCGGUGAAUGCGUUCCCGGGCCUUGUACACACCGCCCGU
rnacentral:rRNA from 1 species